UUCUGGCUCAGGAUGAACGCUAGCGACAGGCUAACACAUGCAAGUCGAGGGGCAGCACGGGAGUAGCAAUACAACUGGUGGCGACCGGCGCACGGGUGAGUAACGCGUAUGCAACCUACCUAUCAGAGGGGAAUAACCCGGCGAAAGUCGGACUAAUACCGCAUAAAACAGGGGCACCGCAUGGUGAUAUUUGUUAAAGAAAUUCGCUGAUAGAUGGGCAUGCGUUCCAUUAGGUAGUUGGUGAGGUAACGGCUCACCAAGCCGACGAUGGAUAGGGAACUGAGAGGUUGGUCCCCCACACUGGUACUGAGACACGGACCAGACUCCUACGGGAGGCAGCAGUGAGGAAUAUUGGUCAAUGGGCGGGAGCCUGAACCAGCCAAGUCGCCGUGAAGGAAGAAGGAUCUAUGGUUCGUAAACUUCUUUUGCAGGGGAAUAAAGUGCAGGACGUGUCCUGUUUUGUAUGUACCCUGAGAAUAAGGAUCGGCUAACUCCGUGCCAGCAGCGGC
rnacentral:rRNA from 1 species